rnacentral:SRP_RNA from 2 species
GCCGGGCGUGGUGGCGCAUGCCUGUAGUCCCAGAUACUAGGGAGGCUGAGACAGGAGAAUUGCUUGAACCCGGGAGGUGGAGGUUGUGGUGAGCCAAGAUUGUGCCACUGCACUCCAGCCUGGGUGACAAAGCGAGAUUCUGUCUCAA